UCGAACGUAAGAUGACUGUAGGUGAAAGACUUACAUCUCUUCGGAGCAUUUUACGAGGUGCUGCAUGGUUGUCGUCAGCUCGUGCCGUGAGGUGUCGGGUUAAGUCCCAUAACGAGCGCAACCCUACCUUUAGUUGCCAUCAGGUAAUGCUGGGGACUCUAAAGGAACUGCCUACGCAAGUAGUGAGGAAGCGGGGAUGACGUCAAAUCAGCACGGCCCUUACGUCCAGGGCUACACACGUGCUACAAUGGCCGAUACAGAGGGCAGCUACCUGGUGACAGGAUGCAAAUCUCCAAAGUCGGUCUCAGUUCGGAUCGGAGUCUGCAACCCGACUCCGUGAAGUUGGAUUCGCUAGUAAUCGCGCAUCAGCCAUGGCGCGGUGAAUACGUUCCCGGGCCUU
rnacentral:rRNA from 1 species